rnacentral:rRNA from 1 species
UCCGUAGGGUGCGAGCGUUGUCCGGAAUUAUUGGGCGUAAAGCGCUCGUAGGCGGUUUGCUGCGUCGGCUGUGAAAUCCCGAGGCUCAACCUCGGGUCUGCAGUCGAUACGAGCAAACUAGAGUGUUGCAGGGGAGACUGGAAUUCCUGGUGUAGCGGUGAAAUGCGCAGAUAUCAGGAGGAACACCGGUGGCGAAGGCGGGUCGCUGGGCAACAACUGACGCUGAGGAGCGAAAGCGUGGGGAGCGAACAGG